UCCGUAGGUGAACCUGCGGAAGGAUCAUUAACGAGUUUUGAAACGGGUUGUUGCUGGCCUUCCGAGGCAUGUGCACGCCCUGCUCAUCCACUCUACACCUGUGCACUUACUGUAGGUUGGCGUGGGUUUCUAGCCUCCGGGUUGGAAGCAUUCUGCCGGCCUAUGUACACUACAAACUCUUAAAGUAUCAGAAUGUAAACGCGUCUAACGCAUCUUAAUACGACUUUCAGCAACGGAUCUCUUGGCUCUCGCAUCGAUGAAGAACGCAGCGAAAUGCGAUAAGUAAUGUGAAUUGCAGAAUUCAGUGAAUCAUCGAAUCUUUGAACGCACCUUGCGCUCCUUGGUAUUCCGAGGAGCAUGCCUGUUUGAGUGUCAUGAAAUUCUCAACCCAUAAAUCCUUGUGAUCUAUGGGCUUGGAUUUGGAGGCUUGCUGGCCCUAGCGGUCGGCUCCUCUUGAAUGCAUUAGCUUGAUUCCGUGCGGAUCGGCUCUCAGUGUGAUAAUUGUCUACGCUGUGACCGUGAAGCGUUUUGGCAAGCUUCUAACCGUCCAUUAGGACAAUUUUAUAACAUCUGACCUCAAAUCAGGUAGGACUACCCGCUGAACUUAAGCAUAUCAAUAAGCGGAGGA
rnacentral:rRNA from 1 species